UACAGAGGUCUCAAGCGUUGUUCGGAUUCAUUGGGCGUAAAGGGCGCGUAGGCUGCGGGGUAAGUCGGGUGUGAAAUCUCAGAGCUCAACUCUGAAACUGCACUCGAUACUGCUUUGCUUGAGGACUGGAGAGGAGAUUGGAAUUCACGGUGUAGCAGUGAAAUGCGUAGAGAUCAUGAGGAAGACCAGUGGCGAAGGCGGGUCUCUGGACAGUUCCUGACACUGAGACACGAAGGCCAGGGGAGCAAACGGG
rnacentral:rRNA from 1 species